GAUGAACGCUGGCGGCGUGCCUAAUACAUGCAAGUCGAGCGAACUGAUUAGAAGCUUGCUUCUAUGACGUUAGCGGCGGACGGGUGAGUAACACGUGGGCAACCUGCCUGUAAGACUGGGAUAACUUCGGGAAACCGAAGCUAAUACCGGAUAGGAUCUUCUCCUUCAUGGGAGAUGAUUGAAAGAUGGUUUCGGCUAUCACUUACAGAUGGGCCCGCGGUGCAUUAGCUAGUUGGUGAGGUAACGGCUCACCAAGGCAACGAUGCAUAGCCGACCUGAGAGGGUGAUCGGCCAUACUGGGACUGAGACACGGCCCAGACUCCUACGGGAGGCAGCAGUAGGGAAUCUUCCGCAAUGGACGAAAGUCUGACGGAGCAACGCUGCGUGAGUGAUGAAGGCUUUCGGGUCGUAAAACUCUGUUGUUAGGGAAGAACAAGUACAAGAGUAACUGCUUGUACCUUGACGGUACCUAACCAGAAAGCCACGGCUAACUACGUGCCAGCCGCCGCCGUAACAC
rnacentral:rRNA from 1 species